AUUGAACGCUGGCGGCAUGCCUUACACAUGCAAGUCGAACGGCAGCACGGGAGCAAUCCUGGUGGCGAGUGGCGAACGGGUGAGUAAUAUAUCGGAACGUGCCCAGUAGUGGGGGAUAACUGCUCGAAAGAGCAGCUAAUACCGCAUACGACCUGAGGGUGAAAGGGGGGGAUCGCAAGACCUCUCGCUAUUGGAGCGGCCGAUAUCAGAUUAGCUAGUUGGUGGGGUAAAGGCCUACCAAGGCAACGAUCUGUAGUUGGUCUGAGAGGACGACCAGCCACCCUGGGACUGAGCCACGGCCCAGACUCCUACGGGAGGCAGCAGUGGGGAAUUUUGGACAAUGGGCGAAAGCCUGAUCCAGCAAUGCCGCGUGUGUGAAGAAGGCCUUCGGGUUGUAAAGCACUUUUGUCCGGAAAGAAAUGGCUCUGGUUAAUACCUGGGGUCGAUGACGGUACCGGAAGAAUAAGGACCGGCUAACUACGUGCCAGCCGCCGCGGUAAAAC
rnacentral:rRNA from 1 species